rnacentral:lncRNA from 1 species
CGGCAGGUUCAGAAAUAGUCCCAUCUAUGAAACCUAGUUUGUUUUUUUUUUUCGAAGAGCUCUCCUCAUUGAUCUUUUCCAAGAAUGAUAGUUGCUGGAAUCCAGCAUUUGAGUGACCAGCGGUGCUCCAGAACUAUCAUUGUUACCAAUAAAAUAUGGACUAUAUGGCUGGGAUGGAUCAAUAGAAUUUGGAUCUGGAAGUAUGUUCUGAUUCUGAUUUGUGUUGGUAGAAUUUUCUUGUUCUGUGUUUGGUGGUAGAUUUUGGUUUUGAUUUGAGUUGAAAUCCUCUUGAGUCAUAGUGGCUCUGAUACCAUAAAAGAAAAGCCAACAAAAGGGAACGAAUUACACAAGGGGAAGAAUGUUUUACUGUGUAUUCUUUUUUAUAUCAAAAUACAAACUGGUAGUGCCCUUAUAUAAUUGAAGAAAAGGAAUAUUCCUAUCAAACUCUACACUAGUUGUACAAAACAGUUCCAACCAAAAAUUAAUUCUUCCACUCAUAACAGAUUUGGAGCCUAAUAUAUACACACAAAUUCUUUUAGCUGAUUCUUCUAGAAUUCAAUGCGUAGCUGGUAGUUCUUGGACUUUGCUGGAAUCUCUACUGGCAACAAGCUUCCUUCCUGCUUUCUUCUUGUCAUAUUUUAACAGUUAACUUUGGUUUUUAGGGCUCUCAUAUCAUAUGAGCUGUGAAGUUCAGUUUUUUGGCUUUGCUAUUGAGCAUUUCAGUUCGGGUUCCAUUUUUUCCCUGUAAGUCAUACUUAAAGUUGACAUGUAAUGUGCCUACUUUUGCAAGUUGAAGGCAGGUACGUAUCUCCAGAAGUUUGGACCAGUUGAACUCUUGCAAGUGAUGAUUGUGCAUGACAUUUGGUGCCAAUCAAUAUAAGCACUUCCGAGAAUCUACGUAUCAAAUAUUUUUGUUGGAUGAACGGAUGUUUUUAUAUUCUUAUUUGCCAAACUAGAAUGCCCUGCUUUCUUCUUUGAAAUCUAUGUUGCAAACUUAUAAUGGCCGUUUCGGUCUCUCUUUUGUAGACAACCUUCAG